AUCUGGAGAUUCAAGUGAAUGAUGGCCAGACCGCAUGACAGCAGACUCUGACCUGUAUCGUCCUUACCAGCCAGUUCAGAAAGCCAAACUACCAAGUCUGCAGUGUCAUCUCCAGAUGGUGGACGUGGCCACUGGCCUUCUUUUAUUUUUGUUUCCCUUUCCAGCUAUCAAACUAGAGAAGGCUAACUUUUCCACAGGCUUCCUUGCCUAUCUGCAAAUGUGUGAUGUGUGAUGUUCAGUCUUCAUUGUGAACAUGACUAGACUUCCGACUCAUCUGGAGCCACUGCUCUGGGUGGAUCUGUGAGUGUGUUAUGAGGGAAGUUUAGCUGAGGAAGAAUGAUCUACCGUAAACUCAGCUAUAGGUACAAGACACCAGCUGCCCCACCAUGAAGAGCUGAAUCCCUCCAAACCGCAAGGUCAAAUAAAUGUCCUUUAGAGGCUUGA